AAAAUGACUCUCGGCAACGGAUAUCUCGGCUCUCGCAUCGAUGAGGAACGUAGCGAAAUGCGAUACUUGGUGUGAAUUGCAGAAUCCCGUGAACCAUCGAGUCUUUGAACGUAAGUUGCGCCCCAAGCCAUUAGGCCGAGGGCACGUCUGCAUGGGUGUCACGC
rnacentral:rRNA from 1 species